rnacentral:rRNA from 1 species
UACGUAGGGGGCAAGCGUUGUCCGGAUUUAUUGGGCGUAAAGAGCGUGUAGGCGGCUAGGUAGGUCCGUUGUGAAAACUCGAGGCUCAACCUCGAGACGUCGAUGGAAACCAUCUAGCUAGAGUCCGGAAGAGGAGAGUGGAAUUCCUGGUGUAGCGGUGAAAUGCGCAGAUAUCAGGAGGAACACCAAUUGCGAAGGCAGCUCGCUGGGACGUUACUGACGCUGAGACGCGAAAGCGUGGGGAGCAAACAGG